rnacentral:rRNA from 1 species
AUUGAACGCUGGCGGCAGGCCUAACACAUGCAAGUCGAACGAGGGGCGGACGGGUGAGUAAUGUCUGGGAAACGGCCCGAUGGAGGGGGAUAACUACUGAAAACGGUAGCUAAUACCGAAUAGCAUAGGAUGUGCCCAGAUGGGCUUAGCUAGUAGGUGGGGUAAUGGCGCACCGAGGCGACGAUCCCGAGCUGGUCUGAGAGGAUGACCAGCCACACUGGAACUGAGACACGGUCCAGACGCCUACGGGAGGCAGCAGUGGAGAAUAUUGGACAAUUGGCGCAAGCCUGAUGCAGCCAUGCCGCGUGUAUGAAGAAGGCCUUCGGGUUGUAAAGUACUUUCAGCGAGGAGGCGUUACUCGCAGAAGAAGCACCGGCUAACUCCGUGCCAGCAGCCGCGGUAAUUC